rnacentral:rRNA from 1 species
UACUCGAGUGGCGAACGAGUGAGUAACACGUGGGUGAUCUGCCCUGCACUUCGGGAUAAGCUUGGGAAACUGGGUCUAAUACCGGAUAGGAACCAUCUUUAGUGUGGUGGUUGGAAAGUUUUUUCGGUGUAGGAUGAGCUCGCGGCCUAUCAGCUUGUUGGUGGGGUAAUGGCCUACCAAGGCGGCGACGGGUAGCCGGCCUGAGAGGGUGUACGGCCACAUUGGGACUGAGAUACGGCCCAG